AUGGAGAUAAGAAGAAAUUUUUCUCGGUAUCAAUCCCCUUGCCCCUCAUUCUUUGAGAAUCAGAAGGAUCCUUUUCGAGUUUCCAUUUCUUCAUUUGGAAUCUGA
rnacentral:rRNA from 1 species